UGCAGUCGAGCGGACAGAAGGGAGCUUGCUCCCGGAUGUUAGCGGCGGACGGGUGAGUAACACGUGGGUAACCUGCCUGUAAGACUGGGAUAACUCCGGGAAACCGGAGCUAAUACCGGAUAGUUCCUUGAACCGCAUGGUUCAAGGAUGAAAGACGGUUUCGGCUGUCACUUACAGAUGGACCCGCGGCGCAUUAGCUAGUUGGUGAGGUAACGGCUCACCAAGGCGACGAUGCGUAGCCGACCUGAGAGGGUGAUCGGCCACACUGGGACUGAGACACGGCCCAGACUCCUACGGGAGGCAGCAGUAGGGAAUCUUCCGCAAUGGACGAAAGUCUGACGGAGCAACGCCGCGUGAGUGAUGAAGGUUUUCGGAUCGUAAAGCUCUGUUGUUAGGGAAGAACAAGUGCAAGAGUAACUGCUUGCACCUUGACGGUACCUAACCAGAAAGCCACGGCUAACUACGUGCCAGCAGCCGCGGUAAUACGUAGGUGGCAAGCGUUGUCCGGAAUUAUUGGGCGUAAAGGGCUCGCAGGCGGUUUCUUAAGUCUGAUGUGAAAGCCCCCGGCUCAACCGGGGAGGGUCAUUGGAAACUGGGAAACUUGAGUGCAGAAGAGGAGAGUGGAAUUCCACGUGUAGCGGUGAAAUGCGUAGAGAUGUGGAGGAACACCAGUGGCGAAGGCGACUCUCUGGUCUGUAACUGACGCUGAGGAGCGAAAGCGUGGGGAGCGAACAGGAUUAGAUACCCUGGUAGUCCACGCCGUAAACGAUGAGUGCUAAGUGUUAGGGGGUUUCCGCCCCUUAGUGCUGCAGCUAACGCAUUAAGCACUCCGCCUGGGGAGUACGGUCGCAAGACUGAAACUCAAAGGAAUUGACGGGGGCCCGCACAGCGGUGGAGCAUGUG
rnacentral:rRNA from 1 species